AGAGUUUGAUCCUGGCUCAGGAUUAACGCUGGCGGCAUGCCUAAUACAUGCAAGUCGAACGGAAGUAGCAAUACUUUAGUGGCGAACGGGUGAGUAACACGUAUCUAACCUACCAUUUAGUGGGGAAUAACUGUUGGAAACGACAGCUAAUACCACAUAUGUUAUUUGUUUGCAAUGGCAAAUAAUGAAAGGAGCAUUUGCUUCGCUAAUUGUUGGGGAUGCGGCGCAUUAGCUAGUUGGUAAGGUAAUGGCUUACCAAGGCAACGAUGCGUAGCCGAUCUGAGAGGAUGAACGGCCACAUUGGGACUGAGACACGGCCCAAACUUCUACGGAAGGCAGCAGUAGGGAUUUUUCACAAUGGGCGAAAGCCUGAUGGAGCAAUGCCGCGUGACUGAUGAAGGUCUUCGGAUUGUAAAGGUCUGUUGUAAGGGAAGAAUUACUAGUAUAGGAAAUGAUGUUAGUAUUGACCAUACCUUACCAGAAAGCCACGGCUAACUAUGUGCCAGCAGCCGCGGUAAUACAUAGGUGGCAAGCGUUAUCCGGAUUUAUUGGGCGUAAAGCGUGCGUAGACGGUUUUGCAAGUCUGAGGUUAAAUUUAGGGGCUCAACCCCUAACCGCCUUAGAAACUACAUUACUAGAGUAUAGGAGAGGUUAGUGGAAUUUCAUGUGUAGCGGUGGAAUGCGUAGAUAUAUGAAGGAACACCAGUGGCGAAGGCGGCUAACUGGCCUAUUACUGACGUUGUGGCACGAAAGCGUGGGGAGCAGAUAGGAUUAGAUACCCUAGUAGUCCACGCCGUAAACGAUGAGUACUAAGUGUGCCAUGAGGCAGUGCUGUAGCUAACGCAUUAAGUACUCCGCCUGAGUAGUAUGCUCGCAGCAUCAACAAAAAUACAAAAGAAUGUUCUCGAUAACAACAC
rnacentral:rRNA from 1 species